AUGGAAAGACAAUGCUUGCAUCAGAAAAACAACAAAAAACAGUGCACUCAAAUAGUUCAAAAACUUAUCCAUUCCCCCCAAAACCCAUUAAUCCACCUAUAUAAACCAUUUUCAGAUUACAGAAGAAGGGGGGAUUUUGUUAAGAAAAAAAACCAGAAAAAAGACUUACAGAACCUUUACUCAAACACCAGCCCAUACUCCCUUUCGUCAGCUACACCCCAAACCUCACGUACUCCACUGUUCCGCAACCAAAAAAUAAUCCCUUCGUCUGUGGCACUUCCUAGCCACACCUUAAAUAAGCUCGACCCACCAUUGUGA